rnacentral:lncRNA from 1 species
AUGACAAGAAGCUGGCCGCAUUCCCAUGGGGUUUCUGGCCUGGGGCUAGAAUUGAUUAUCAGACUCUGCUAUCCAGGGAACGAGAUCACCAAGUUGCCUGGAGUGGACACCUCAAACCAGCUGGACCAAUGCAACUCUCUCUUCUCCAAUUUUGGGAUUCAGUGACUGGAACUUGGAAAUCACGGCACAAAUAUUUUUUUCGGGUUUUUACAACAUAUA